AUAAGGCACUUUUUUAUGGCUACAUCUUUCCAUUGAAUAAACUAAUUCACCAGCACGACUUCUUUUAUAAAUAUUUUCUUUAUAGUUUCUUCUGAAGUGCCAUUUUCGCAUUUUUUAACUUUCAUGAAAUUUAUUUUAUUCUAUUCACACAAAAUUUGAACUUUCGAUAAAUUAUUUUGAUUGUGUUCCAAAUAUUUAAUUAAUUGAUAGCCACAUACCUAAAUACAAACUCAAUCAGUCAAUUUUUUGAUGAAAAAUUUUCAACUAUAUUUUCGACCGAACUCAGCUAAGCUCCAACUUUUACUUUAGGUGAGUCAUCAUCUAAAUAUAUUUGGCGUUAUGUAACUAUGAAAUUUCAGUACAAAUGUUUUUCGUGAGGCCUUCACAACAAUACGAAGAGAACUGCAGCAAAAACUACCGUACGUCCUACUAUCCAUUUUGAAAAAUGCAAACAAAACACAUAAACUAAGUGCAGGUGUUUCCAUAAUUUUUAAAAAAGUUGGAACCAAAACUUCUGUUAUCAUUAUUUGAAAAAUACUUUCACUUCAGAUUAGAUUCUAGAAAACUUAUAAAAUAACAUUUAAUAUCAACUAAUUUAAAAGAGACUUUUCCUACCCACCAGAACAACGAAUUUAAAAACAGCAACUGGUGUUGUAAUUUCGUAUCUUCACAAAAUAUAUCUUAGGCGGAAUCAAGUUUUAACAAAUGGGUUUAAUACCACUAACUGACCUGGACAAUAUCAACAGCAGAGCGUUUUAAGCAAAACUUAGGCUAAAUGAAUUCCAAACCAGAGAAUUUAGACGAAAUUCCUGCACCCUCAGCCGGAACUUCAUCUGAUCAUCUUGUCAUCGUAGAAGCUACAAUUUGUUCAUACAUUCCGAAAUCACUGCGUAGAAAACAGUAUGGUGUGAUAGAAAAUCAUCUAACUAGAGUCAUAAUAUUUAUAUGGCCAAACAGUUCACAGGUAACAUCAUUUAACAAAUUAAUAACGCAUUCACUUUGAUUGAGAUAGUUUUCCAUCGCACAAUUAAUUCUAGUUCUAAUAUGUAGUUCCACAAUAAUUUUAUUAUUUACAAAUACCUUAGUGUUGUAAAUGGUUGCUCCAAUGUGUAAUUUAUUUCGUGUGUGUGUGUCUUUUUUGUCAGAAUCGCUCAACGGAUGCAGCAUUCAUGUUAAAGAUCCAAGCAUGAACUACCCGUGCUAAAGCCCACGUGAUGCUAUUAACAUUUCAGGAUACGUUUCAUCUAACAAAUGGCAACGCUAGAUCCGUUGUUCAUGCAUUCAAGAGGCGUUUAUAUAUUUGCAUCCGUUCGGCGCUUCGAGUACAAAAUAUUUAAAAAUUUUGAAAUGUAAAGUGCCACGAUACCUUUUAACUACUUAUAUUCAAGAUUAGCAAGAAAUGACGUCAAGGUUGUUUUCCAUCGUCGAAUAUUUUUCUCUAUAUAUCCACUCGUCUUGCAUUAUUAAAAUGAACAUUUUGUGCCAAGCCGUGGUUCUCUUCGAGCGUCGAAGUGGUUUGUGGUUAAAAUUUCUUCAUAGUGUUUUAAGCAUGUCACAACGAUUUCCCAAAAACAUACUCUUCUGACAAACUGUCAAAGUUUGAUUCAGAGGGUAAGCGGGAAAUUUACUGUGACCAAAUACUGAAGAUGCUCCGAGUAUAGCAACUACGAAACUAUGUUUUUUCUUGACAAUUGGUACACAAGUGAAAAAACACUUAAUAAAACGAAAACACGUAAUUGAAGAAGGUUUCCUUUUGGGGACUAGUUGUGAUGGAAAAUGUAAAAAUCGGAAUUGAAGCAAAAAUACCGAAGACGGACUGCAACCUUGUCGUAUUUUCUUAUUUAAUCAUAGUUUUGUCAGUUUAUGAAAAAAAAAGUAUCAUGACAUGUGAGCGAUAUUUUUACUUUGUAGUUGAAAUAUGUACAUAUAUUGCAGUUUAUAAGAGGAUUACUAAUAAUGUAACGUUGAUUACUCCAACCAAAGACUUUGAUAUACGUAUGUAGGUACCUAAAGAGUGUAAUCCAUCUGUACCUAUAUUGCAAAUAUGUAAAUAAUGAGUUAAUCUGUACACGUACUGAAAUAGAUUGUUGUUUGUUAUUAAACAUUAGAAUACACUGCACUUUUUA